UGGGGAAUAUUGGACAAUGGGCGCAAGCCUGAUCCAGCCAUGCCGCGUGAGUGAUGAAGGCCUUAGGGUUGUAAAGCUCUUUUAUCCGGGACGAUAAUGACGGUACCGGAAGAAUAAGCCCCGGCUAACUUCGUGCCAGCAGCCGCGGUAAUACGAAGGGGGCUAGCGUUGCUCGGAAUCACUGGGCGUAAAGGGCGCGUAGGCGGACAUUUAAGUCAGGGGUGAAAUCCCGGGGCUCAACCUCGGAAUUGCCUUUGAUACUGGGUGUCUCGAGACCGGAAGAGGUAAGUGGAACUGCGAGUGUAGAGGUGAAAUACGUAGAGAUUGGGAAGAACACCAGUGGCGAAGGCGGUCUCUUGGUCCGACACUGACGCUGAGGCGCGAAAGCGUGGGGAGCAAACA
rnacentral:rRNA from 1 species